AGCGAACGCUGGCGGCAGGCUUAACACAUGCAAGUCGAGCGGGAACUCCGGUGUCAGCGGCAGACGGGUGAGUAACACGUGGGAACGUACCCUUCGGCUCGGAAUUACGCUGGGAAACUAGCGCUAACACCGGAUACGCUCCUCUGGGGCAAGGUUGACUGACGAAGGAACGGCCGGCGACGGUUUAGCUUGUCGGGGGGGGAAUGGCCUAUCAAGGCGUCGCUCAGUAGCUGGGCUGAGAGAAUGAGCCGCGACACUGAGGCUAUGAUGCGGCGCGGACUCUUACAGGAUGCAGGAGAGGGGAAUAUUGCAAAAUGGCCGCGAGGCUGAACGAGCCAGGCUGGGUGAGUGAUGAAGUCCUGAGGGUUGUGAAGCUCGUUUGUCCGGGACGGUAAUGACGGUACCGAAAGAAUAAGCCCCGGCUAACUUCGUG
rnacentral:rRNA from 1 species